UACGUAGGGUGCGAGCGUUAAUCGGAAUUACUGGGCGUAAAGCGUGCGCAGGCGGUUUUGUAAGCCAGAUGUGAAAUCCCCGGGCUUAACCUGGGAAUGGCAUUUGGGACUGCAAGGCUCGAGUGCGGCAGAGGAGACUGGAGUUCCUGGUGUAGCAGUGAAAUGCGUAGAUAUCAGGAGGAAUACCGAUGGCGAAGGCAGGUCUCUGGGCUGACACUGACGCUCAUGCACGAAAGCGUGGGGAGCAAACAGG
rnacentral:rRNA from 1 species